GACGAACGCUGGCGGCGUGCUUAACACAUGCAAGUCGCGGGGCAGCAUGAAUUUAGCUUGCUAAAUUUGAUGGCGACCGGCGCACGGGUGAGUAACGCGUAUCCAACCUUCCCCUGUCCACGGGAUAGCCCGUCGAAAGGCGGAUUAAUACCGUAUGAGGUCACACGAUGGCAUCAGACUGUGACGAAAGGUUUUGCGGACAGGGAUGGGGAUGCGUCUGAUUAGCUUGUUGGUGAGGUAACGGCUCACCAAGGCGACGAUCAGUAGGGGUUCUGAGAGGAAGGUCCCCCACAUUGGAACUGAGACACGGUCCAAACUCCUACGGGAGGCAGCAGUGAGGAAUAUUGGUCAAUGGAGGCAACUCUGAACCAGCCAAGUAGCGUGCAGGAUGACGGCCCUAUGGGUUGUAAACUGCUUUUAUGCGGGGAUAAAGUGUGGGACGUGUCCCAUAUUGCAGGUACUGCAUGAAUAAGGACCGGCU
rnacentral:rRNA from 1 species